UGCCAGCCGCCGCGGUAAAACCAGCACCUCAAGUGGUCAGGAGGAUUAUUGGGCCUAAAGCAUCCGUAGCCUGUUCUAUAAGUUUGCAGUUAAAUCUAUACGCUUAACGUAUAGGCUGCCGUAAAUACUGUAGAACUAGGGAGUGGGAGAGGUAGACGGUACUCGAUAGGAAGGGGUAAAAUCCUUUGAUCUAUUGAUGACCACCUGUGGCGAAGGCGGUCUACCAGAACACGUUCGACGGUGAGGGAUGAAAGCUGGGGGAGCAAACCGGAUUAGAUA
rnacentral:rRNA from 1 species